UGGGGAAUAUUGCACAAUGGGCGCAAGCCUGAUGCAGCCAUGCCGCGUGUGUGAAGAAGGAAUUCGGGUUGUAAAGCACUUUCAGCGGGGAGGAAGGCGGUGAGGUUAAUAACCUCAUCGAUUGACGUUACCCGCAGAAGAAGCACCGGCUAACUCCGUGCCAGCAGCCGCGGUAAUACGGAGGGUGCAAGCGUUAAUCGGAAUUACUGAGCGUAAUGCGCACGCAGGCGGUCUGUCAAGUCGGAUGUGAAAUCCCCGGGAUCAACCUGGGAAAUGCAUUCGAAACUGGCAGGCUAGAGUAUUGUAGAGGGGGGUAGAAUUCCAGGUGUCGCGGUGAAAUGCGUAGAGAUCUGGAGGAAUACCGGUGGCGAAGGCGGCCCCCUGGACAAAGACUGACGAUCAGGUGCGAAAGCGUGGGGAGCAAACAGG
rnacentral:rRNA from 1 species